rnacentral:lncRNA from 1 species
AGGCAUGCAUAAGUGCACACUUGGGAAACAGUGGAGGGAGAGGAGGUGAGUCCUUCUCGGUUUAAAAGCCUCUCUCCCCCUUCUCCACUGAAGAGUGAAUCCAGAGCCUCUCUCCCACCAAGAUACUACUGUCUUUCCAGACCUCCUAAUGCUAACUCUUUAAACAGACAUGAAUUGCUUGCUUUUUAAAUUUUGAGAAGAUACUCUGGAUAAGAUGUAGCAAGAUGGCAGAGCCAAGAUGGAAGACAGGAAGUCCUUGGAGAGACUCCACAGCAUUGCUCAUAAUGGUUGUCAUGGCAAAGAGGUAAUGCUCAGCAUCUUCUUGCAGAGGGAGGAGCGUCGCGUCGGGAGCCCAUCCGGGAUCUUCAAGCCACUGCUAGGAGCAGUGUGCACUCUGACCCAGAUCAUGGGCUGGUGUCCUGGCUUACCUCUCUUAAGAAUUCAUCUGUCCUCCAGAAAACUACAAGUCAUGGGUGUUCUCAUUCCUUCCAUUUCCAUAAUUCCCAGGACCUUCCAGGCAGAGAGAAAAUAAAGCCAAGUUAG